GACGAACGCUGGCGGCGUGCUUAACACAUGCCAGUCGAACGGAAAGGCCCUGCUUUUGUGGGGUGCUCGAGUGGCGAACGGGUGAGUAACACGUGAGUAACCUGCCCUUGACUUUGGGAUAACUUCAGGAAACUGGGGCUAAUACCGGAUAGGAGCUCCUGCUGCAUGGUGGGGGUUGGAAAGUUUCGGCGGUUGGGGAUGGACUCGCGGCUUAUCAGCUUGUUGGUGGGGUAGUGGCUUACCAAGGCUUUGACGGGUAGCCGGCCUGAGAGGGUGACCGGCCACAUUGGGACUGAGAUACGGCCCAGACUCCUACGGGAGGCAGCAGUGGGGAAUAUUGCACAAUGGGCGGAAGCCUGAUGCAGCAACGCCGCGUGCGGGAUGACGGCCUUCGGGUGGUAAACCGCUUUCGCCUGUGACGAAGCGUGAGUGACGGUAAUGGGAAAGAAGCACCGGCUAACUACGUG
rnacentral:rRNA from 1 species